UGCAUAAAAUAUUCACUUAUAUAAGUCCUGCAAUAUGGGGGGGAUGUUUCUACUGAGCUGCCGUAAAUUGCUCAUACUAUAAGUGUUUACUG
rnacentral:ncRNA from 1 species